GAGGGGGUUACAAGAUCUGCUAACUCUUCAAUCUGGAUUAAUAAACCAGCCCCCUCU
rnacentral:tRNA from 2 species